rnacentral:rRNA from 1 species
CCUACGGGAGGCAGCAGUGGGGAAUAUUGGACAAUGGGGGGAACCCUGAUCGAGCCAUGCCGCGUGUGUGAAGAAGGCCCUCGGGUUGUAAAGCACUUUCAGUGAGGAAGAACGCCUGGUGGUUAAUACCCAUCAGGAAAGACAUCACUCACAGAAGAAGCACCGGCUAACUCCGUGCCAGCAGCCGCGGUAAUACGGAGGGUGCGAGCGUUAAUCGGAAUUACUGGGCGUAAAGCGCGCGUAGGUGGCUUGAUAAGCCGGUUGUGAAAGCCCCGGGCUCAACCUGGGAACGGCAUCCGGAACUGUCAAGCUAGAGUGCAGGAGAGGAAGGUAGAAUUCCCGGUGUAGCGGUGAAAUGCGUAGAGAUCGGGAGGAAUACCAGUGGCGAAGGCGGCCUUCUGGACUGACACUGACACUGAGGUGCGAAAGCGUGGGUAGCAAACAGGAUUAGAUACCCGGGUAGUC